UUGUGACUUUUUUGAAAACUGGACAGUUUAUAUAAUAUAUUGCAGCAAUUCUAGAUAUUGGUCUUUCCCCUCCAGGUCUUCUUGUUGUUUACUUAGUAACUGGCUGGGCUCUUUUAGGGAAAUCUAUUCCCCCACAUUGUGAAGCCUCUGGUGUUGCUGCUCAGAAAGUCCAUGUGCCUUGGGCAUCCACACAGUCACCCUGAGAUGACAGUGGUUUUAGCAGAACUCUCUUUGCGCAUCUAUCUCUUGGGCCACACCCAACUUUAGGUGCCACUGUCAGCUGGUUGCUCUUUACUUUUAGACAACGUCUUGGAGGCAUAAAUUGUUCUCUAGUCUGAUCCAAGCAAAAUUAGAAUCUUUUCAGGGGUAGAAUUUGAGAUCAGCAUUUUUUGAUAUCCAUAUUUGAGGUGUGUUCGGACCCCAGCUGGGCUCUUCGUACUGUCUCUUUUCUUGGUUCACGUGGUACACUAGCUGGCUUAGGAUUUAGCUUGUGUCUUCACUGCUUUCCACCACAACCACCACUGUUGUUGAGAGAGCACCAUGGGGCUGGAACUUUCCCAUACUCUGUUUCAAAUAAAGUCAGUUCCUUUGGGGAGAGCUUUGGCUCUCGCUGUCCUAUGGCUAGCUUCUCCCCUUGGAUGAAACCUCUCAGCCGUGGCUCUGGAGCUGAGGGACACUCCUGCUUGAAGAGUAGAGUGCGCAUUGAGAGAGACAGCCUCUAGCCUUCUCACUUUCCUCUCCCAGUGAGGAAACUUCACUCUACAAACUGGUUGGGGCGAAGGCAACAAGGACCCUAUUUCUCUUAAUGUGCCAGAGCUGAGUAGAGGCUCCACCUUUCGAGUAGGGGGUACAUGGAAGAAGGCACCCAAAUUUUUAGCUGCACUUGCCUGGAAUUUAGCUUCCACAAUGUAUAGUUAGGAGAGAUGAGAAAUGCUGAUGGCCUGUUCCUUCUGAGGAGAUACCAGAGCCCUCAACUGGAAGCUAUGUUCUUGGGUAUCCCUACCUGGAGUGGAGUUUCUGCCAUGCUGAGCUGGAAGAGGAGUGUAAGGGGGUGAUUCAUUGUUCAAAUGCUAUAGACUCUCCCUGUUUUUACUGAAUUAUAGUACAUUUUCUUAUAUAAAUGACUGAAAUAAAUAACAAACUUAUUCAUUAAACUAUUUUAUUUUAUGAAGUUAUUCAUUAAAUUAAAAACUGAUUAUUUAUUUUAUGCCCUAAGGACCACACUAGAGACUUUAAAUGUUUGCUUUUGUUUUGUUGUGUUUCUUCUAACACCUGCACCUGCUGAUAUGGAAAUUUCCAGGCUGGGGGGGAACUGGAGCUGUAGUUGAAGGCCUAUGCCACAGCCACAGCAACACCAGAUCUGAGCUGCAUCUGCCACCUACACCACAAUCUGAGAUGUCUUUUGGAAAGCCUGUAAGGAUGGGAGUUGACUGCCAGGGGUACAAUCAUGUAAUUAAAAUAUUGGAACUUUGAGCUCUAUCCCCCAAUGUCCAGCCUGCAGGGAGGAGAGAGGGGCUAGAGUUUGAGUUAAUCACUAGCGGUCAAUGAUUUAAUUAAGCAUGCCUGUAAUGAAGCCUCCAGAAGUCCCAAAAGGAUAGGGUUUGGUGAGCUUCUGGGUUGGUAAAGAUUGGAGGUCCUGGGAGAAUGGCAAGCCCAGAGAAAGCACAGAAACCCCAAGUUCCUUCCCGCAUACCUUGUUCUAUGCAUCUCUUCCAUAUGACCAUCCCUGACUUAUUAUAUUCUUUAAUUUUAUUUAUUUAUGUAUUUAUUUUUUAGGGCCAUAACCAGAGCAGACGGAGGUUCCCAGGCUAGGGGUCAAAUCGGAGCUCAGAGGCACAGCAAUGCCGGAUCUGAGCCACAUCUGCAACUGACACCACAACUCACGGCCACACUGGAUCCACUGAAUGAGGCCAGGGAUGGAACCCACAUCCUCAUGGACACUAGUCCAGUUCAUUACCACUGAGCCACAAACUGCUUGAUGGUGUGGGGAAAACCCCAGCCACAUGUAGUGGUCAGAAGUGUCAACGCAAGAGAAUGUAGCAGUGUAAUGUAAAUGACAACAACAGUUUUCCUUUACAGCCAUGCGGUGUACUUUUUCAUCUCAGGUAUCAUUUUUAAUCUCUAGACUUUCAAUUUGAGUAUUUUUUUUUUUUUGUAUUUCCUUGUCUCCUCUGACCUUUUUAGACAUACUGAAUACAAUUAUAACAAUAACUGUUUCAAUGUUCUCUGUUCAUUCUUUUUUUUUUCCUGUUCAUUCGAACAUCUGCGCAUUCUAACAUCUAAUCGUAGGCCAGAUUUUAUUGAUUGAUUAUUCUCCUGAUUAUGGAUCAUGAUUUCAUGCCUGUUGUAUCUGAUUGGAUGCUAGUGAUUGUGUUUUACCUUGUUGGGUGCCAGGUAUUUUUUGCAUUCCUCUAAGUUUUUCUUGAGCUUUUUGUCUGGGAUGAAGUUCAGUUCCUCGAAAACAGUUUGAUUUUUUAUUCAGGUCUUGCUUUUGUGCUCACUUAGGCAUUUCCUGGAAUGGUGCUCAGUCUAGGGCUAGUUAUUCUCCACCACGGAGGCAGGACCUUCCUGAGAACAUGCUCUACCCAGUGCCCCAUGAAAGGUCUUUCCAGUCUAGCUGCUGGGAACAGGUGUUGCUCCUGGCACUCACCGUUCCUGCUAAUGCUUUCGGAUAUUUCAUUCCUCAGGCUUAUGCAUGCAGUGAUCAGAACUCUACUGAAUAGUCAAGGGGACCCUCUGCUGAUCGUUGGGGUUCUCUCUCUGUGCAGCUAUCUGCUCUCUCCUAAGAAAUGGGGCUGAUUUGGUCUCUGGACACUGACCUUCCUCUUUUCAACCCAGGCUUCAUCUUAGUUUCCCCCUCCUGCACAUGCCUUGGAAAAUAUGUAAAGCCAAGUAAGCUGGGGCACUCGUCGAACUCAACUUGCUUAGUUCCAAUGUCCUUCAGUGCCUGGUGUCCAGUGCCUAGGAAACUGUCGUUUCAUACAUUUCGUCUGUUUUUUGUUUCAUCGUUUGUUUCAAAUGGAAAGGUAAAUCCAGCCCUUUCCCUCAUCCACCUUGAUCAGAAGCAGAAAUUGAUAGCUAUUAUUAUUCUAGUAUUUAUUCAAAAUAUCUGUUGGGGAGUUCCCUGAUGGUCCAGUGGUUAAGGAUUUGGCAUUGUCACUGCUGUGGCAUAGGUUCCAUCCCUCUAUCCCUGGCCCAGGGACUUCCUCAUGUCCCAUAAAGAUAUAUAUAUAUAUAUGAGAGAGAGAGAGAGAGAUAUUGGGCACCUCCUCGCACCAGGCACUGCACUAGGUAACUCGGUGCUGGCUAUACGGUGAUGAACCAACAAUAAUGGUCCCUGGCCUCAUGGCCAGUCUGACAUUUUGGGAUCCACGUGCAUGGGAAGCAAUAAAUGCCCUGCUCCCUGGACUUACACAUAUUGCCAUGGAUCAUAGGUGGCCCUUCCUCUCAAGAAAUUCAGAAUUAAGGGAGACUAAAGCGAAUUCAUUAACCCAAAGGGGGCUUUGAAAAGUAUUAUGUGUGAGACACAAAGGCUCUGGGCAUACAUAGGAAGAAGUAAUAAGUUCUGACUGGAAGUAUAAGGAAAGUCUGCAUGGGGAAGGUGAAUGUGAGUGAAGCCUGAGUGUGUGUCCUUUUGAAUGGACAGGGGAAAAAAGGUAGAAGGCUCAAGGUGCUUUUAAACCUGAAAGCAGUUAAUCACAAUUUCCUCCUAGCAGAUACAGCCCUCGGCUGGCUCUUCUUUAACUAAGAGAACAAAGAGAAGCCUAAUCUCCUGCUGGAGAGGAAGCUGCCCCAGGAAGUGAAUCCUGAUUUGCCUGAAUCAGCCCUGGAAAUUUCAUUCCCAUUUCUGUCACUGGAUCAGGCAUAGGUCUGUGACACCAUUCUGUCCAAUGAGAGGUGAAGAAAGUCUGCUGGGAAAGCUUUCUUCCUGAUAAAGAGAGGAAACACCCCCUUUCCCCCUGCCUCUGACAGAAAAAAACAAAACAAAACAAAACAAAACAGAAAACCUGGUUCCUAGAUGAUAUUAUCAAGCCACUUGAAUUAACCACUCUGAAAGCGAUCUAAUGUGAGACAUCUUGUUACAUGAGAUGAUAAAGUUUUAUUGUUUUAGUAACUUCUGGAAGGAUUUUGUUGUUUUUGAUGGUGUCACCUGCAGCCAGGAGUAGCAGAUCAGCACACUCCAGACCAACUGGCCUAUCUGAAAUUUGCUUUUCCUUUCCACUGGUAUAAUCUGCUGCUAAUUGUCACUCCUCUUGCUUCUGGUUCCUUUGCCUUAUCAAUAACAAAGAUUAAAGAUGACAAUAUAUUCAGCCAUACAUGCACAUGGGAAGAAAUAGAAAGCAAUUUUUAAAAUGAAAGAACAUAAUUACACAGUGAAAUACAUUGACUAUUUAAAAGCAUCACUCACUCCUGAUCCUUUGGUUGAAAGGACUUGUUUAACUCUCAGAGGACAGUGGAGGAAAGGAAAUAAAAAAGAAGAGAAUGUAGGAAAGCCCAGGGGAAAUAAUAUAAACUUCUGCAUUCCCAGCAGUGCUGGAAUUCUCUAGUAAUUCCCACAGAAGCCAAGACCACCUCUGGAACAAUUUAACUGUUGGAAACCACCAGUGUCUGCCAAGAAACCCACUAGAACAGGGGCAAAGGAUGUGCCAUCCUCAUUCUGGAGAGUCUGGAUCAAUCCCAGGAGCCCAGGCCUGCCGGUGGCAAAACUGUGAAUAAGCAAAGACUGUCGCCAAUCUCCACCCACCUUCUCAUUCCCUUCCUGAUCCUCCUCCUGUUUUAGCUCUAAAGUCUUUCUCUCUGUACCUCCUCCCACUCCUCCUUGUCACCCCCGCCCCACUCAACAAAUCACAUCCUGCUAGCCCUCAGGAGCACAGAGAGUACCAAGCCUCCUGCCUCAGGGCCCUCGCAUUUUAAUCAGGACCUCUUCCACACCCCAGGCAGUGCUUCUCUACUGCUUAAAAUUCAAGCCUCUGGACAGGCAGUGGGGGACAAGCCACUUGGGCACAGCAUUUGCUGUCUCCUGCAGUGUCAGUGCAGGUGGGGUGAAGCACCAAGGAGUACAUGGUCAGGUCUCACGGCCAGCCAGUGGGGAGUGCCAGAUCACAAGGACAUUACUUCAAACUCUACUCCUCUCUGCCAAUGCACAUAAGGCCUUAUCCUCCACUCAUAUACCCACACCCCUGCAGUCUGGCUUCUCCUACUCACCGUCAGCCUCGGUUUAGAUGUCCCUUCCUCCAGGAGGCCUUCCUAGUCAAUCCCCUCGGACAUAGCCCAUAAUUCUGAAUGCCUCCCUCCCUGAGAACUUGUCAUGAUGAUUUACUCUCUGUGGCUACUCAGUACACCAGGACCCAGUACAGCCCUGACAUUUAGCAGGUGCUCAGUAUAUGGAAUGAAUGAAUGAAUGAGUGAGUGAAUAUCUAUUUACAUACGUUAUAGCUUUCCACAAACCAUGACUUGUCACGUGCUCCAUUGCACCCUCAGCACCCAGUCUAUGUGCUUAGGCCAUGGAAGGCACACAAUCUUUAUUCAUUAAUGACUGAAGAAGGAUACUUGGACCUCUGCUGCUGUCGAUAAUGUCCUGACAUCCUUAUCUCAAAAGCAAGAAGUACAGCCCAGUGACUUUUUCCAGAGGAUCAGGGAUGGGGGACAAAACAAAAUGGAGGAAAAGCUCUGGGGUACAGCUGUCCAGGGCUUUGGGGGUGGGCUCCUCUUCAACUACAGUUUGUUUACGAGGGAUCCUUAACCUGAGGCUCACACGAAUGGGGCUUCAGAAGAUUCGUGAGUCCUCUGACACAUUAAUCAAACAUCCAAGCCAGUAGCUGUAUAUGCAUUUUUCUGUAAAAAGGCCCAUGGCUUUCAAGGAGUCUCAAAAGGCUGUAACACAAAAGGAAGCAUUGCUCUACCAGCACUGUCCAAUAUGAUAGCCACUAGCCGCAUGCGACAAUGUAAGUUAAAUUUUCAAUGCCUCAAUUACACUAGCUACCUGUCAAGUGUGCUCGGUAGAUAGAUGCUCCCUAUUGGGCAGCCCAGAUAUAGAAUGUUUUCAUCACCCCAUAAAGUUCUUCAGAGCUUCUCUAUACUGGUAGCAUUUCUCAGGAGUCAAUGGACUGACAAGAUUUGUUUAAGACGUGUAGUGCUUGUGUAAAGUGAACUGUCACCAUUUAGAAAUGAAAACAGACAUCUGAGAUCCCGAUUUCUUCUGCGACCAUCUGCCAACUUGGGGCCUGAACUCGUCCUGGCAGCCGGAGUGCACAGGGCUGCUCAGUUUAGAUGGUCCUUUAGUCACGUUCAAGUCACCACCUUGGCCCUCCUCCACAUCUGAGUUUGCGACCCUGGCUUCUAGGACACCUCGCCCACCCGGUUCUCCUUCCAGUCUCCUGUGUUUGUAACUAGAUUCCAAGUUUGGGUAAGUGGGGUUGAAUCUGUUUUAAGUGCACAUCUUGGGGUGGAGUCUGGGGCUGAGAUUCGGCAUCCCAGUUGGAAGUUGGGGUGGGGCAGCACCCUGCUCCCUUCAGUUCUCUGGAACUGGAAGAAGAGAGAGGGAAUUUUACCCCAAUCAUCUGUUGCUUGACAAAGAACUUCCCGGUCUUCCUAGGAGCCCUCCACUCCCCAGCCCAGU
rnacentral:tRNA from 1 species